GGCUGCUCGCGCGGCCCGAGUUGUAAUUUGCAGAAGGUGCUCCGGGGGCACACGCCGGCCCAAGUCCCUUGGAACGGGGCGUCGUGGAGGGUGAGAACCCCGUACGCGGCCGGGGCGGUGCGCCCCCUUGCGGGGCCCUUUCGACGAGUCGAGUUGUUUGGGAAUGCAGCUCCAAAUGGGUGGUAAAUUUCAUCUAAAGCUAAAUAUCCGCCAGAGACCGAUAGCACACAAGUAGCGUGAGCGAAAGAUGAAAAGCACUUUGGAAAGAGAGUUAAACAGCACGUGAAAUUGUUGAAAGGGAAGCGCUUGCGACCAGACUCGCCCGCGAUCGAUCAGCCGCCCUCCGGGGCGGUGCACGCCUUCGCGGCCGGGCCAGCAUGGGCUCGGGCGGCCGGAUAAAGGCCCGGGGAAUGUAGCUCCCUCGGGAGUGUUAUAGCCCCGGGCGCCAUGCGGCCAGCCCGGGCCGAGGAACGCGCUCCGGCACGGAUGCUGG
rnacentral:rRNA from 1 species